rnacentral:rRNA from 1 species
UACAGAGGGUGCAAGCGUUAAUCGGAAUUACUGGGCGUAAAGCGUGCGUAGACGGUUAUGUAAGUCGGGUGUGAAAGCCCCGGGCUCAACCUGGGAAUUGCAUUCGAGACUGUGUAGCUAGGGUACGGAAGAGGGAAGCGGAAUUUCAGGUGUAGCGGUGAAAUGCGUAGAUAUCUGGAGGAAUACCGGUGGCGAAGGCGGCAUCCUGGACCGACAUUGACGCUGAGGAGCGAAAGCUAGGGGAGCAAACGGG